CUCCAGGCACCUGGGCGGGAAGCUAGUCCCCACAGAUGCAAAGAGUCGGUCCAUAACACCCUUGGGAACGGCCGGCCGCCUGGGUGGGUCCUGUCUUAGUUAGUCCUACCACCCUGUACAUCUGGGUGCCCACACGGCAACCAUGAGGAACCGUGCUUACCCUUCCUUGCUUAUCAGAGAGUCUCCCCCAUUUAUCUGGCUACAGAUUGCUGCCUUCGAGAAGCAUCCUCCAGUGCCCGGUAGAUCUGGGAAGUGCAGGCCACCCAGGGGUUCCCAGAGUCAGAAUGGCGCUUAGCCCCCACCCCCGCCCCAUCCCCCUGGCUUCCUCUCCAAGAUCCGAGGUACGAAGAAGAAAGCUGAGGCUCUGGCGUGGAUGUGGUUUGAGUGGGACCCCUGUGCUGGGCGGUGGGACGAAAGCUCGGUCCCCAGGGUGGCCGGGCGGGAGGGGCGGAGCCGUUGAGCCAUGGGGAGGGGUCAGUGCUGGUCUCUAGGAAUGAGUUUUUGUUGGUACAGCGAGAGCAAGACCCGUCCCUCACCGUCUCUGGCUUCCUGUGUCACCCCGGGAACUCUGCCUCCUACACGCUACCCCAGCAUGAUGUCAUCCACCACAAAAGCCAC
rnacentral:lncRNA from 1 species